AGUGAACGCUGGCGGCGUGCUUAACACAUGCAAGUCGAACGAGAACGGAAUAUAGCUUGCUAUAUUUGUCAGCUAAGUGGCGCACGGGUGAGUAAUGUAUAGAUAACCUGCCCUUAAGAAAGGAAUAACAGUUGGAAACGACUGGUAAUGCCCUAUAUGCCCUUAAUACAUAAGUAUGCAAGGGAAACGCUUUAGUGCUUAAGGAUGGGUCUGUAUGGUAUCAGCUUGUUGGUGAGGUAAUGGCUCACCAAGGCUAUGACGCCUAACUGGUUUGAGAGGAUGAUCAGUCACACUGGAACUGAGACACGGUCCAGACUCCUACGGGAGGCAGCAGUGGGGAAUAUUGCACAAUGGACGAAAGUCUGAUGCAGCAACGCCGCGUGGAGGAUGACACAUUUCGGUGCGUAAACUCCUUUUAUAUAGGAAGAUAAUGACGGUACUAUAUGAAUAAGCACCGGCUAACUCCGUGCCAGCAGCCGCGGUAAGAC
rnacentral:rRNA from 1 species